rnacentral:rRNA from 1 species
GUAGGGGGGGCAAGCGUUAUCCGGAAUUACUGGGUGUAAAGGGAGAGUAGGCGGCAUGGUAAGUUAGAUGUGAAAGCCCGAGGGCUUAACCUCGGGAUUGCAUUUAAAACUAUCAAGCUAGAGUACAGGAGAGGUAAGUGGAAUUCCUAGUGUAGCGGUGAAAUGCGUAGAUAUUAGGAAGAACACCAGUGGCGAAGGCGACUUACUGGACUGAAACUGACGCUGAGGCUCGAAAGCGUGGGGAGCGAACAGGAUUAGAUACCCUGGUAGUCCACGCCGUAAACGAUGAGUGCUAGGUGUCGGGGGGAACCCUCGGUGCCGCAGCUAACGCAAUAAGCACUCCACCUGGGGAGUACGAUCGCAAAGAUUG